GACGAACGCUGGCGGCGUGCUUAACACAUGCAAGUCGAACGGAAAGGCCCUGCUUUUGUGGGGUGCUCGAGUGGCGAACGGGUGAGUAACACGUGAGUAACCUGCCCUUGACUUUGGGAUAACUUCAGGAAACUGGGGCUAAUACCGGAUAGGAGCUCCUGCUGCAUGGGGGGGGUUGGAAAGUUUCGGCGGUUGGGGAUGGACUCGCGGCUUAUCAGCUUGUUGGUGGGGUAGUGGCUUACCAAGGCUUUGACGGGUAGCCGGCCUGAGAGGGUGACCGGCCACAUUGGGCCUGCGAUACGGCCCAGACUCCUACGGGAGGCAGCAGUGGGGAAUAUUGCACAAUGGGCGGAAGCCUGAUGCAGCAACGCCGCGUGCGGGAUGACGGCCUUCGGGCUGUAAACCGCUUUCGCCUGUGACGAAGCGUGAGUGACGGUAAUGGGUAAAGAAGCACCGGCUAACUACGUG
rnacentral:rRNA from 1 species